UCCCAGUUCGGAUUGUAGUCUGCAACCCGACUACAUGAAGCUGGAAUCGCUAGUAAUCGCGGAUCAGAAUGCCGCGGUGAAUACGUUCCCGGGUCUUGUACACACCGCCCGUCACACCAUGGGAGCCGGGAAUGCCCGAAGUCGGUGACCUAACCGGAAGGGAGGAGCCGCCGAAGGCAGGUCUGGUGACUGGGGUGAAGUCGUAACAAGGUAAC
rnacentral:rRNA from 1 species